rnacentral:rRNA from 1 species
GAUGAACGCUGGCGGCGUGCCUAAUACAUGCAAGUCGAGCGAACAGACGAGGAGCUUGCUCCUCUGACGUUAGCGGCGGACGGGUGAGUAACACGUGGAUAACCUACCUAUAAGACUGGGAUAACUUCGGGAAGCCGGAGCUAAUACCGGAUAAUAUAUUGAACCGCAUGGUUCAAUAGUGAAAGACGGUUUUGCUGUCACUUAUAGAUGGAUCCGCGCCGCAUUAGCUAGUUGGUAAGGUAACGGCUUACCAAGGCAACGAUGCGUAGCCGACCUGAGAGGGGGAUCGGCCACACUGGAACUGAGACACGGUCCAGACUCCUACGGGAGGCAGCAGUAGGGAAUCUUCCGCAAUGGGCGAAAGCCUGACGGAGCAACGCCGCGUGAGUGAUGAAGGUCUUCGGAUCGUAAAACUCUGUUAUUAGGGAAGAACAAAUGUGUAAGUAACUAUGCACGUCUUGACGGUACCUAAUCAGAAAGCCACGGCUAACUACGUG